CGUGAGGGAGGAGGCUCUUGGGUUGUAAACCUCUUUUAUCAGGGAAGAAGAUCUGACGGUACCUGAUGAAUCAGCAUCGGCUAACUCCGUGCCAGCAGCCGCGGUAAUACGGAGGAUGCAAGCGUUAUCCGGAUUUAUUGGGCGUAAAGCGUCCGCAGGUGGUUUUUCAAGUUUGCUGUUAAAGCGCAGAGCUUAACUCUGUAACGGCGGUGGAAACUGAGAGACUAGAGUAUGGUAGGGGUAGCGGGAAUUCCCAGUGUAGCGGUGAAAUGCGUAGAUAUUGGGAAGAACACCAGCGGCGAAAGCGCGCUACUGGGCCAUAACUGACACUCAUGGACGAAAGCUAGGGGAGCGAAAGGGAUUAGAUACCCCCUGUAAACGAUGGGUACUAGGUGUUGACCGUAUCGCCCGGUCAGUGCCGUAGCUAACGCGUUAAGUACCCCGCCUGGGGAGUAUGCACGCAAGUGUGAAACUCAAAGGAAUUGACGGGGCCCGCACAAGCGGUGGAGUAUGUGGUUUAA
rnacentral:rRNA from 1 species